UCUCAUUUUGCAAAUGAGAAAUUUAAGUUUUAGAGGGAUUAGGUACCAGGCAUUCUAUACAUAUUAUCUCAUUUAUCUCUUCAGAGGCUCAACAUAUUUUCUACCAGUUUUAAAGGGAAGGCUUGGGGAAAAUGCCCACAGUUAGUCACUUAGGAGUUGAAGAAAGUGAAAUUAAAACCACCACCAUCACAACGGAUAUCCUUUACGGGAUGUUUUUAUGUGCCAGGUCUAGGCAUGGUCUCACUUAACCUUUCAGUAACCCUACAGUGUGGGUACUAAUAUUAUUCUUACUUUCUAGGUAAAAAAAAAAUUGGAGGCCCAGAGGGACUGAGCAGCUGGCGUAAGGCCACAUAGCUAGCAAUCUGUAGAGCUGGGACUGGUACCUUGGUCUGCCUAAAUUUUGAAUAAGCCAGAGGGGAGAUAAUUUCCACACUGUCAUCACCAUCAUCACCACUGUUCUGGAGGAUUAGCCAAUGCUCCUGGAAAGAGGUAUCCGAUUGGAGAGGAAGAGGUAACUUACUGCUGAUUGAAGAUUAUUUGACCAUUUACAUGGAAAACCCUCAAGAAUCAACUGAAAAAGUGAUUGAAAAUGACAAAAUAACUGAGUAAGGUAACUGGAUUCAAAAUUAGUGUUCUAUUAUCAAUGGCCUUCAAAUACACAGACAACAGCCAGAACUGAAAUAUAAUGGAUAUAAGACUGCAUUUGCAAAAGCAACCUAGAAAUAAACUUUUUAAAAAUGUGCAAAACCAUUUUAAAUGCUGCCAAAGGAUACAAAUGUGAACUUAACACCACAUUCUUGGGUUAAAAAUCUCAACAUUAUAAGGAUGCCAGUUCUCCUAAAUUAAGCUACACAUCAACACAAUCGCAAUGAAAAUACUAACAGAAUUUCUUGUGGAACCAUACCAGUUAAUUUUAAAGUUGAUAUGGAAAAAUACACAUUCAUCCAGGAAAAGUUUGAAAACAGAAAUGUAAAAAGCAGAGAUAACCCCAUCCAUUAUUUACUUGUAUUUUAAAUCUAUUAUAAAGCUAAAACAAUUAAACCUAUGGCACAAGUACAUGAAUAGCUAUAUAAUUCAGAAAUUACUAGAAGUCACCCAAUAUAUAUAGGAAGUUACCAUAUGAUCCAGUUGGCACUUAAAACAGGAUUUAUCCAUAUUUGGUAUUGGAACAAUUGGCUACCCAUCUGUAAAAGAAAUUAAUUUAGAUCCUCACUUCACAUGUUAUACCAAAAUAAAUUCUACAUGCAUCAAA